GCUACAUCCGCUCACUCACUCCCUCCGUGUUGGGUUACGGUGACAAGGCCCCUGUCUGAACCACGACUUUUCGAAAGAUAUUAUUACAGGGCUCACAGCUGAUCUGUUCUCUAGUGUACAAUUGAGACAGAGAAGGUUAAAGCACUCUGAAUGCAUGGGACCAUACUGCAGCUGAAGCUACAGAGUCAAUGAGGCAGUCAGAGUAAACAUAAGCAUCAUAGCUAGCAAGAACAUUAAAGCGCCUCCCAGCACUCCUCAAUGUUCUCUUCCAUCUGCCUCCUGUCCAUUGAUCAGCCUUCCAGGGCAUCAGUCUGUUUAACAUCUGCUACAAGUUCCAGCAGCUCAGGGGGACCUCCACUGUGGAUGAAAUUUAGCCCCAACCCCUGACCUUUGGGUUCAGCAUUUGUCUCCAGUCCAGUGACCACAAACAACUGCUGGAUUGCUGUAAAUGUCAGUGCAGCAUGUCUCCGCCCUCUCCCCUGUGAACCACAGAACUGCACUCAACCUGCACUAACAGGACACUUUCAUGAGAGCUCCGUUAUCAGUUAUGCUGUGUUUGAUAAUUCAGAUUUCCUUCUUAUAAUGUCUCUUUGAUCUGAACAACUGUCAUCAAACAGACAUAGAUGAGUUUGGCAUUUUUUAUACUUCAUUUAUUUU